rnacentral:rRNA from 1 species
AGUUAUAUUAAACUAAGGUAUUACCACUUAAACCCUUAUAAGGUGGCGGUCUUUAUAAUUUAGAGAAACUCGCUUUAUAAUCGUAAAUACUCGAUAAAUUUAACUUAUAUUUAAUUAAUUUAUAUACCGCCGUUAAGAUUUAAUACUAAAAACAAUUCAAAAAUUCAUACAAACACAAAUCAGGUCAAGGUGUAGUUCAUAAUUAAGUAAAAGUAAGUUACAUUAAAAAUAAUUUUAGAAAAAAAAUACAAAUAUAAACUAGAAAAAGAAUUUAUCUGUACAAAUUAAUCAAAAACUAAAAUAGAAACAAAAAAUAAAGAUGC